rnacentral:rRNA from 1 species
AUUGAACGCUGGCGGCAUGCCUUACACAUGCAAGUCGAACGGCAGCACGGGUGCUUGCACCUGGUGGCGAGUGGCGAACGGGUGAGUAAUACAUCGGAACAUGUCCUGUAGUGGGGGAUAGCCCGGCAAAAGCCGGAUUAAUACCGCAUACGAUCUACGGAUGAAAGCGGGGGACCUUCGGGCCUCGCGCUAUAGGGUUGGCCGAUGGCUGAUUAGCUAGUUGGUGGGGUAAAGGCCUACCAAGGCGACGAUCAGUAGCUGGUCUGAGAGGACGACCAGCCACACUGGGACUGAGACACGGCCCAGACUCCUACGGGAGGCAGCAGUGGGGAAUUUUGGACAAUGGGCGAAAGCCUGAUCCAGCAAUGCCGCGUGUGUGAAGAAGGCCUUCGGGUUGUAAAGCACUUUUGUCCGGAAAGAAAUCCUUGGCUCUAAUACAGUCGGGGGAUGACGGUACCGGAAGAAUAAGCACCGGCUAACUACGUG